rnacentral:rRNA from 1 species
AUGGUUUUCUGGUGCGGUGGUUACCCCACGGCGGCCGGUGGUUGCCCCACGCAACUCCGGCGACCGCUGACUCUCUGCAUCGGCUACAAUCCCGGUUUGGCCUCGGAACAACAAACACAAGGGAAGAGGCUCAAUGGUAAAGAGGGGGCAGAGAGCUAUCUGCGAGGCCUACAGCGGGCAGCAACACCAGCAGGCGUUUGGUUUUGCGCAGCCGCAGGUGCUGGACAGGAGCAGCAGAGCGCGUUUGACGGCAUGCUGGAUCUGCUCCUGGUCCGCGUGAGAAGGCCGCCAAGAACGUCCACACCAAGCAAGGGCAAGCAAAAGGAGAAUGUGAACAACGUGAUGAUGUUCCACCAGGCCACCUACGACAAGCUGCUCAGUGAGUGA